rnacentral:rRNA from 1 species
CGGCGGACGGGUGAGUAACACGUGGAUAACCUACCUAUAAGACUGGGAUAACUUCGGGAAACCGGAGCUAAUACCGGAUAAUAUAUUGAACCGCAUGGUUCAAUAGUGAAAGACGGUUUUGCUGUCACUUAUAGAUGGAUCCGCGCCGCAUUAGCUAGUUGGUAAGGUAACGGCUUACCAAGGCAACGAUGCGUAGCCGACCUGAGAGGGUGAUCGGCCACACUGGAACUGAGACACGGUCAGACUCCUACGGGAGGCAGCAGGC